GAUGAACGCUAGCGACAGGCUUAACACAUGCAAGUCGAGGGGCAGCACAGGUAGCAAUACCGGGUGGCGACCGGAGCACGGGUGAGUAACGCGUAUGCAACUUACCUAUCAGAGGGGGAUAACCCGGCGAAAGUCGGAAUAAUACCGCAUGAAGCAGGGGUCCCGGGUGGGGGUAGUUGCUAAAGAUUCAUCGGUGAUAGAUAGGCGUGCGUUCCAUUAGGCAGUUGGCGGGGGAACGGCCAACCAAACCGACGAUGGAUAGGGGUUCUGGGGGGAAGGUCCCCCGCAGGGGUACGGCGACACGGACCAAGCGCCUACGGGCGGCAGCAGUGGGGAAGAUGGGGCAAUGACCGAGAGACUGAACGAGCCAAGCCGCGUGAGGGAUGCAGGGUCUAGGGAUAGUAACCCUCUUUUAUAAGGCAAUAUCGCGCAGGACGUGUCCCGGUUUGUCUGUACCUGAUGAAUAAGGACCGGCUAACUCCGUG
rnacentral:rRNA from 1 species